UCCUGCUGCCAUGCACCCUGGCAGAUGUCCCCAGAGCCUUUCCCCAGGAGCUGCCUGGCCACAUGCAGCUCCCAACUACCAGCAGAUACAGGUGAGAAAAGACAAUAAAUUUGUCAGGGCAGAAAGAAACAAUGUUCUGAUCAAUGCAGGGCUUUGCAGCAUACUUGGAAUACAGUCACAAAUGUAUUUCUUAAAAUGUAACCAAGGGCCAAAUUCUGGUAAUUCAGGUGAUGCUCUGGAGAGAAGCAGGUACUGAACCAAAGGGACUCCUGCCCCAGCCUUGGGAUCUGACCAGCACACAGGCAGUGCCUGCCCUGGAGGGCCCAAAGAACCUUCCACCUGCAGAUUUCACCAGCUGCUCUUUAUUAAAGUAUCUCCAGCCUUCUCAAGCCUCUACAAAGCAGCAGGACUUCAGGUGCUGCUGCUGUUUCAUCUCAGAGUGAAACCACGCCAGGCCCAGUGAUGAACAGCCCAGCAUCUGCCUCUGCCCCUGCCAAGUGAUGGAGCAGGUGCUCCCAGCUCCUGAGGCACCAGGUGAACUGGAACACAGCCAGCUACCUGAGCCUGGCUUUCUCUUCUGUCUCCCCAGGCUUCUUUCCUCCCCAGCCUCUGCUGUGACAUCCCAAAGUGGGAUCAGCACGUCAGGGGAGGCGAUGCUCCCCCUCUGCUCUGCUGAGGCCUCACCUGGAGUACUGCAUCCAGCUCUGGGGUCCCAGUGUGAAAGGAAGGUGGAACUGUUGGAUAGAGCCCAGAGGAGUUUCAGGAAGGUGAUGGUAAGGCUGCUAUGGAGACAGGCUGAGAGUGGAGCUCUUCAGCCUGGAGAAGGCCUGAGGAGACCUCAGAACCCCGUCCAGUGCCUAAAGGGGCUGAAAAAGAGCUGGAGAGGGACUUUGGACAAGGUGAUGGAGAGACAGGACAAGGCUUUAAUCAAAAAGAAGGUCAAUUUUGUUCUUCACUAUUCCAAACUUUGUGCUGGCAUACAAAACAAAGACUAGAGGCGAGUUUCAAGAGAGCAUUUCCAGCAGCAUGGGUUAGGCAGAAUUUACCAGGAAUUCCAUUUUUUUGUGCCAUCACCUGCUUUUCUGCUGCCUGCUCUUCUACUUUGUUACAGUCUUUUUGCAGCUUUAUAUGCAUACAGAAAAUUCAGUUUGGCUUGUGGCAGAAAAUGAGGUCCAGCUUGAGGACCAUUAACAUGGAUGGCAAUAAAACGAACAUUUAGCAAUAACUGGGCAGUUCUGUGUGAUCCAUGGAUAGCCUGCAUACUCUGUACAUACACAUUUUCAACAUGUGGGUGACAAGCAAGGUCAAGAGGCACCAGAACAAUCAUUCUGCCCAUGUUAUUCCUGCCACAGCGGGUGUGACAGCUUGGCAUUAUUGCCUUCCAGGAGGGAAAGGCUCUGAACAGAUUCUCAAGUACAGCUUCACUGCCCCAAACUAUGCACAAACAGUGAAUUUUUGAAGUGUGAAUGACAAAGCUCUCAGGCAGCAACAAAAGUUCCUACCAAAGAUCUUAAGAUAUUGGCUAAAAAACUAGUCUUUAAUCAGCCACUAGGGAAAUGUGAGUUUCCUGAACAUAUCAGUUUCACAUGAGAUCUAUUUAUUCUGAAAUUAGAAAGCAGACUUUUUUUUUUUAAAUUCAGGGGUCUUUUUCAAUUCCACUCUGUAGUUACCAGAUUCAGGCUCUCACCCUGCUCUAUAUUUCAUUUAUUGUGGUUACCACAAAGCACUAGCUAGAAGCAAUCUUUCAUACAAAGGAAAUACAAGGUCCACAGUUAACAGCUGAGUAAAGAAAUGGCUGAGGAUAUGCCCUGCCCUUGUCCUUUUCUUGCAGAGCUAGCAACAGUCAAGUCCCGAGUUUUUGACAAAUAAAAUGGGAAUAUGUGAAAAGGAAAUGAAGCAUUUAAAGUAUUGACACAUUUAUGAAGUAUUUAAUACCUGUCAAACUUUCUAUAAAGAGCAGCUUUUAAAAUACUGAUGACAGAGCACAUACACAUGUUCCAUCUUGCAAAGACACUGAGUGGAGACCCUGAACCUGUCUCCCUGAACCCCCAGAGGGGCAGCACAGCAGUCAGAGCCCCAGGCUCACCCUGGGUGUUUGGCAGCACAAGGCGAGCAGGGAAAUCCCAAAGGAAGCACACCAGUGACCUGCCAUUAACACCCACAUGGACGGAAAGGAACAAGGACUGGCCAUGGCAUCACACAUGAAUAAAGGAUGUGCUGUAUGUUUCCACUCCAUCCCACAGGCCAGGUGGCCAGCCCCAACACCCAGCAAGCCCUGGGGUGCUGCACAGCCCAGCUCCAUCCACACAGGCCGCCUCAGGUCUUGAUUCAGCCUCUAGCAACCAUUAAAAAAUGAAUCUCAAUUAAUCCCCAACAUCUCUUUUCUUUAUUCCUUUAUUUGGCUGUUCUUAUAAAGGCUACAAAAGUCACAUAGCACAGCAUCUCUGCCAUCACAUGGGAAGGAGAAGGCAAAUCCUGAGGAAGUCAGACAACAACACAACUCCUGCUGAGAGCACCUGGAACUGUUCAGAUGCUUCCCUAAACAACUCACCACGUGGGCUGUGCACUCAAGGGCUGGAUUCCUCCAGAAAACCAGAUUUAUUGUGUUUUUUUUUUUUUUAUUAUUUAUCUUUAAAUAUCUUCUCAAGGGAACCACAGACCCUCUCCAUGGCCACUGACCAGCUGAACUUCUCCCAGCCACCAUCAUUUCCAAGAGCUGCCUAACCCAAGCCCACACCAUGAUCUACAGGGCUUAUAAAUCACUGUCUUAAACAAGUCACCUUUAUAUGCAAGCAAAAAAGAAGAAGUAAUGAAGAGAGCACUUGCUGCAACACCUUGCAUCCCCAGUUACAAAUACAUACUUAUUCCUGUUUUUUAUUAUUUAGAGGUUAUUAUUUUUUUUUAAGUUUUCACUGAUUAUCUUACUGCUGCAACCCCAAGGGACUGGAAGAAGUUUUUCUAUUUGAGAUUUCUCCACCACUCCAAAAUGUCAGAAACAUUCAAAUGUGCAUCUGUUCUUUCUGGCUUAAAACAGUGAUUACUCAAUUAGUGGCUAAUUACACUUCAGGGUGUUUAAAACAGAGGAUAUUCCACAGAGGUUCUACUCAAGCAAGUGUCUUUUUUCCAACCACGGUAAGACAAAUGAAGAUUCACCAAGUCAUCUUCUCUGUUGGUUUUGCCUCAGUCCUCUAAAGCACAUCAUCACCAGAUACACCACAGCUGUGGAGCCAAACAGGGUUCUGGACACAAAGUGGGGCCCACAGGACUUCCAGAACAGGCUCCAGGAGCACAGCCUGAAGAUUUCAUACUGCCCAAAAAGUCAUAUGCAAAAUAAAUAAAAAAAUUUAAUUCUGCUACAUAAGCAAAGUUAGCUGUCCCUGCAGAAUGGGAAGAGCUUUCGUAUAUCCUGAAGAAUUCAGUGUUACCAAGCCUGACAUCUCAAGUUUUUAUUAACAGUGUUCACUCCCUGCACUCAGGAGAAUCACUCAAUUUGUAAUAAAGCCAUCCUUCACACUCUGAAUAUUCAGCAGCACAUCUGAUGUCAUAACCCUGAGUACGUGGCAGUAAGGAAAAAGCAAGUAUCAUCUAUUCCACAGGGAGCUACCAGCUGAGAGGCACUGCCCAAAAAGACACUUUCAUGCUGCCUUAACAUAGUGCUAAAAUUAUUCCUUACCCUGCUAAUCAUAGUGCAAUGUGGGAGCAUUGGAAAAUGCAACAUUAUUGUCUGAGUGCUGCCCUAUGUACAGGGAAUACAUUCACCUUUAAACAUACCAAACAUGUAUAACCUUUAAACAUACCAAAAGCUCUAUCACAGGGGAAAAAAAAUACACUAGGUUUUGUGGAGGGGGUGUGUAAUUUCCAAAAACACUGCACACAAAAUUAGCCUGUCUACUAUAAUAACCUCAGAGCACAAAACUAGAAUUGUCACAAAUCCAAAUCCUAGUAUAUUUGCAGGCUGAUUACAACAGAUCUUCU